rnacentral:rRNA from 1 species
ACUGCUCAGUAACACGUAGUCAACAUAACCAAAGGACGUGGAUAAACUCGGGAAACUGAGGCUAAACCGCGAUAGAUCAAGAUACCUGGAAUGGUUUUUGAUCAAAAUCUAUAUGGCCUUUGGAUUGGACUGCGUCCGAUCAGGCUGUUGGUGAGGUAAUGGCCCACCAAACCUGUAACCGGUACGGGCUCUGAGAGGAGAAGCCCGGAGAUGGGCACUGAGACAAGGGCCCAGGCCCUAUGGGGCGCAGCAGGCGCGAAAACUCUGCAAUAAGCGAAAGCUUGACAGGGUUAUUCUGAGUGAUUUCCGCUAAGGAAAUCUUUUGGCACCUCUAAAAAUGGUGCAGAAUAAGGGGUGGGCAAGCCUGGUGUCAGCCGCCGCGGUAAUACCAGCACCCCGAGUGGUCGGGACGAUUAUUGGGCCUAAAGCAUCCGUAGCCGGUUCUACAAGUCUUCCGUUAAAUCCACCUGCUUAACAGAUGGGCUGCGGAGGAUACUAUGGAGCUAGGAGGCGGGAGAGGCAAGCGGUACUCGAUGGGUAGGGGUAAAAUCCGUUGAUCCAUUGAAGACCACCAGUGGCGAAGGCGGCUUGCCAGAACGCGCUCGACGGUGAGGGAUGAAAGCUGGGGGAGCAAACCGGAUUAGAUACCCGGGUAGUCCCAGCUGUAAACGAUGCAGACUCGGUGAUGAACAGGCUUCGUGCCUGUUCAGUGCCGCAGGGAAGCCGUUAAGUCUGCCGCCUGGGGAGUACGGUCGCAAGACUGAAACUUAAAGGAAUUGGCGGGGGAGCAC